GGACGAACGCUGGCGGCGUGCUUAACACAUGCAAGUCGAACGAAGCACUUAAAACGGAGACUUCGGUCAAAGUUUUUGUGACUUAGUGGCGGACGGGUGAGUAACACGUGAGUAACCUGCCUCUCAGAGGGGGAUAACACACCGAAAGGUGUGCUAAUACCGCAUAACGUAUCUUUGCCGCAUGACAGAGAUACCAAAGAUUUAUCGCUGAGAGAUGGACUCGCGUCCAAUUAGCUAGAUGGUGAGGUAACGGCUCACCAUGGCGACGAUUGGUAGCCGGACUGAGAGGUUGAACGGCCACAUUGGGACUGAGACACGGCCCAGACUCCUACGGGAGGCAGCAGUGGGGAAUAUUGCACAAUGGGGGAAACCCUGAUGCAGCGACGCCGCGUGAGUGAAGAAGGUCUUCGGAUCGUAAAGCUCUGUCUUCAGGGACGAUAAUGACGGUACCUGAGGAGGAAGCCACGGCUAACUACGUG
rnacentral:rRNA from 1 species